GAGUUACUCCCUCCGUUCUGAAUUACUUGUCACAAAAAUGGAUGUAUCUACAACUAAAAUACAUCUAGAUACAUUCAUUUCUUGGACGAGUAAUUCCGAACGGAGGGAGUAGAAC
rnacentral:pre_miRNA from 1 species